ACACUUAUUAAUAAGCUAGUAAGUGUUGGACGUGGAUGACCUCCCAUUGAAAGGUCUUAACAAGCCAAUUUCCUAGCACAGCAAUACUUGCUCAAGAUGGUUAGGUCUACAUUUCUGUCCUGAAUUGAUGGACAGACUGUCAAGACUCUGGUAUAAUUGUGUCCUAGAGGUAAGCACAGCUGGGAUCUAGAGAUGGAGAGAAUCAUCAGAAAAGGCACGGCUGCAAGGAAAGUGCUUGUAUUUCUUAUUACUGGGUGUAAUAACUCACUAGAGUUUUGUGUGAUAUUAAUUAUCUGAAAGGCUCAUGCUGCCAAGUAUAUGUGUGGUAUUUUAUGAAGAUGGUAGAAUUUGACCUGACAGUUGAGAUAUUUCCAGAUAAUUAUUUUUCAGAAAUUAUAUUUGAUAAGUUUUUCAGGAAAUAUCCACUAACCAUGAAAGAGAGACGGAAGAGACCAGUAGAGCCCCUGGAGUGUGACACAUCUGGAGUCCCCAAAUGACAGCUAACAUGUUCAGGAGGAAUUGAUAUCAUGAGGGACUUGAGUGAGACUGUACUGACUCAUCCAUCUUCAGAACAUGGAUUAUAUUCCAAACAUCUACUCUGAUUGAACUGCUAAGCAUGAGGAAAAUGUUCUCCACUCUCUGAAAAAAGAACAGAACUAUGCUGUCGCGGAGCUGAUCAAUGGUUUACAGAGUCACAACUAAACCCUCUGCCAAUCUGCUCCUACGAGGACAUCAGGUUCAGCAUCUAUUCUUAUUAAGUCUCUUGGACCAAGAGUCUCCUGGGGAAAAACUUCAUCACCUUAAGAGAAGAACUGCACACUGAUGCACAUUUAUAGACUUUUCAUCCCCACAAGCUUUGUCACAAGUGACAUUGGGUUUUGUCCUUUUGAGAUGAGCAAGCAAUGUUCAAGAUGCAGACAAACUUGGGACUCAUAUGCCUGAAGAUCUCAUUCCUGAAGUUUCUGCCAAGGGAAACUUCUGGUUUGUUACCCAACAAAAGCAGUGGAUUCAUUUAGCUUCUCUGCAGUGACUUUAUCAUCUCUGAGUGCUGCCCGGACUUGCUGCCCAGCCUACCUGGCCGUACACUGCACCUUGCUUCCCAGCCCUCUCCCACGUUGGAUGCAGCAUCCCUCUUUUCUUUAAAAUAUAUAGCAGUUAAUGUUCUCAUUUGAUGUAUGCUUUACAAAAAGUAGUUAUAUUUUUCAUGUAUAAUGCAAGCACUUAAUUGCCUACUAUAUGAAAAGCACAGUCCUGCAAAUGCAUAGGAGAGAUCUUGUCAGAGUAACGAAUAAUUGUCCUCCAGCUCAACAAAUGAUUGAUGGAUCCUUGCUUUCAUUUAAUUCCUGGCCUUUUCCUUAGUGGACUUUGUGCAAUAAAAAUCAGAUUUUGUUUUUUUUAAAUAGUCCCUAAAUGCUGCAUGCACAAAUGUUCUCUAGCUUCUCACUUCAACCCCCUGCUGCUGCUUGGAAAGCUGUGCAGUGCCUGUGGCACAGCCAUCGCAUGCAAUACGUUAAUCAUCAGGGAAGAUGGUGCCAAGAACUAGGUAAUAGCUUUACUAAUAUUUGUGCCAUUAAAGACCAGGAAACAGCAACUGAACUUUAACAAUCUUAUUAAAAUAUAGUUGUCCUAAGAGAGCUCGGUACUCCGGUGUAUGACAGCACAUCAAUUCAAAACACACAGAUGGGCACAAAGUGCACAAAGCGGAGGCUGCUGGUAACUCAGCUCUGCCACCAGGUCAGUUCAGAGGGGUAUUCAGGAGAAGCUCCAGCCACCAGCAGGGGAAGAACGGCACAGUUACGGACCAAGACCAGGCUCUGCUGCUGACCAAGGCUGCAUUUUCACUGUGGAGGACAGAGCUACCUCCACCUGGAAAGCUUCAGCCCAGCAGAGGCUGCUGCAUCCUGCUGCCUGUAGGAAAUGCAAGUCUUGUGCCUGCUGCUACUGUCUUGGUUUUCGGAUGGACUUUUUGAGCUCCACAGUUUCUCGCUGCUGCCUUAUGCUCUGUCAUGUCUUUCUUUCCUCACAGACAUGAUUACUCAUUUUUACAUUUAAUUUGUGAUGUAUUUGGAAAAUGUGGAAAUCUGUACUGUAUUCAUCCACACUGUCAUAUUUAAUGUCCUUGACUAAAUAAAUAGUUUCCAUUUCAUAAUCUAACAUCCUCAUUGUAGAAAACUAAUGGAAUCGCUAGAUCAUUUGUCAAUGGAUAAAUAGAUUUAAUGGCAAAUUGGUACAGACAUAAGUAAUAUAACAAUUUUUACAUGAAUGCAUGUAAAUACAACAAUCUAGAAUUAAUAAAGACUGGCUACACUUGAACAGAAAAGUGUGGGUGGAUGAGAGGGAGAAUCAUAAGGAAAUUAUCAUUUCUUUUGGCAAAAAUCCACAAUUUGUUUUUCAUAUUUGUUCCCUUAAAUUCAUGGCACAGCACAAUUUCAGAUUUUAUAAUUCCCUUUACACUGCCUUUUCACAUGCUAUGACUUCAGAUGGUCACCUCUCCCAUCUCCCAACUAC